rnacentral:rRNA from 1 species
UUAAGCCAUGCAUGUCUCAGUAUAAAUUUUUAUAUGGUGAAGCUGUGAAUGGCUCAUUAAACCAGUUACAGCUUAUUUGGUCAUCACUCUUUACAUGGAUAACCAUGGCAAUUCUGCUGCUAAUACAUGCGUAUGCGCCCGACUCUGUGGAAGGGUUGAUUUUGUUAGGCACAGAACCAACCUGGGCUGCGCCCGGCCAUGUGGUGAUUCAUAAUAACUGAUCGAAUCGUGCAGCGCCAGCUGGCGAUGAGUCAUUCAGGUUUCUGACCUAUCAGCUUCCGUCGGUAGGGUAUUGGCCUACCGUGGCGAUGACGGGUAACGGAGAAUUAGGGUUCGAUUCCGGAGAGGGAGCCUGAGAAACGGCUACCACAUCUAAGGAAGGCAGCAGGCGCGCAAAUUACCCAAUUUUGACACAGUGAGGUAGUGACAAGAAAUAACAAUAUAGGGCAUCCAUGUCUUGUAAUUGGAAUGAGUAGAACUCAAAACCCUUUGCGAGUACCAAUUGGAGGGCAAGUCUGGUGCCAGCAGCCGCGGUAAUUCCAGCUCCAAUAGCGUAUAUUAAAGUUGUUGCGGUUAAAACGCUCGUAGUUGGACCUCUGCUAAGGACGACUGGUCCGCCCUCUGGGUGAGUAUCUGGCUCGGGCUGGGCAUCUUCUUGGAAAGCGUAGCUGCGCUUGACUGUGUGGCACGGUCUCCAGGACUUUUACUUUGAGGAAAUUAGAGUGCUUCAAGCAGGCGCAUGCCCUGAAUAUGCUAGCAUGGAAUAAUAUGAUAGGACCUCAGUCCUAUUUUGUUGGUUUCUAGAGCUGAGGGAAUGAUUAAUAGGGAUAGUUGGGGGCAUCCGUACUUAGCUGUCAGAGGUGAAAUUCUUGGAUUCGAUAAAGAUGGACUACUGCGAAAGCAUUUGCCAUGGAUGUUUUCAUUGAUCAAGAACGAAAGUUAGGGGAUCGAAGACGAUCAGAUACCGUCCUAGUCUUAACCAUAAACUAUGCCGGCUAGGGAUUGGAGGUUGUUACCUAUACGACUCCUUCUGCACCUUAUGAGAAAUCAGAGUCUUUGGGUUCCGGGGGGAGUAUGGUCGCAAGGCUGAAACUUAAAGGAAUUGACGGAAGGGCACCACCAGGAGUGGAGCCUGCGGCUUAAUUUGACUCAACACGGGGAAACUUACCAGGCCCAGACAUAGUAAGGAUUGACAGAUUGAUAGCUCUUUCUUGAUUUUAUGGGUGGUGGUGCAUGGCCGUUCUUAGUUGGUGGAGUGAUUUGUCUGGUUAAUUCCGUUAACGAACGAGACCUUAGCCUGCUAAAUAGUUACAUGUAGCCUCGGCUAUGUGGGCAGCUUCUUAGAGGACUUUGUGUGUCUAAACCAAGGAAGUUUGAGGCAAUAACAGGUCUGUGAUGCCCUUAGAUGUUNUGGGCUGCACGCGCGCUACAAUGAUGCGCUCAACGAGUGUAUGGCCUAAUCUGGAAGGGCUGGGUAACCUUUGUAAAAGGCAUCGUGAUGGGGAUAGAUUAUUGCAAUUAUUAAUCUUCAACGAGGAAUUCCUAGUAAGCGCGAGUCAUCAGCUGGUGCUGAUUACGUCCCUGCCCUUUGUACACACCGCCCGUCGCUCCUACUGAUUGAGUGAUCCGGUGAAUAAUUCAGAGUGCAGCAACGCUCAGCUCCUGAGCGCUGCAGCAGAAAGUUUAGUGAACCUUAUCACUUAGAGGAAGGAGAAG